rnacentral:lncRNA from 10 species
GACUACAGGCGCCCGCCAUCACGCCCGGCUAAUUUUGUGUAUUUUUUAGUAGAGACGGGGUUUCACCGUGUUAGCCAGGAUGGUCUCGAUCUCCUGACCUCGUGAUCCGCCCGCCUCGGCCUCCCAAAGUGCUGGGAUUACAGUCUGGAGCCACCGCGCCCGGCCCUGAGAUGUCUCCAAGUGGUGGUGAGACAUCAUCAAAUCCUAAGAAACAAUAUACUUGAAGAUUUUUCACUCACUGCAUCAAAGUAAUCGUGGAAGCAAGUGAUGAUACUGUGGUGUCCUAAAGCAAAGCAUCCUGGAUCACUGUGCCAGCAGGUGGAGAACACCGCCCUGAAAAUCUGCCUGGACUCCUAGUCCAUUAUGCGUGAAAAUCACUCUUGCUGUGUGAAAUUACAGAUAUUCUGAGAUUGUUACUGCAGCAAAGCUAGCCUCUGCUCACCGGUAGAUAAAGAAGAUGCCCUUGGUUGCUUAGCAUCUGCACUGAGGUUUUUUUAA